rnacentral:rRNA from 1 species
ACUGCUAUCGAGGUUCGACUAAGCCAUGCGAGUCGAAUGUAGCAAUACAUGGCGAACUGCUCAGUAACACGUGGACAACCUGCCCUUAGGACGGGGAUAAACCCGGGAAACUGGGUAUAAUACCCGAUAGGUCUCGAUUGCUGGAAUGCAUCGAGAUUUAAAGCUCCGGCGCCUAAGGAUGGGUCUGCGGCCUAUCAGGUAGUAGUGGGUGUAGCGUACCUACUAGCCUACGACGGGUACGGGUUGUGAGAGCAAGAGCCCGGAGAUGGAUUCUGAGACACGAAUCCAGGCCCUACGGGGUGCAGCAGGCGCGAAAACUUUACAAUGCUGGCAACAGCGAUAAGGGAACCUCGAGUGCCAGGUUACAAAUCUGGCUGUCGAGAUGCCUAAAAAGCAUUUCAUAGCAAGGGCCGGGCAAGACCGGUGCCAGCCGCCGCGGUAACACCGGCGGCUCGAGUGGUAACCGUUAUUAUUGGGUCUAAAGGGUCUGUAGCCGGCCGGAUAAGUCUCUUGAGAAAUCUGGCAGCUUAACUGUCAGGCUUUCAGGAGAUACUGUCUGGCUCGAGGCCGGGAGAGGUGAGAGGUACUUCAGGGGUAGGGGUGAAAUCUUGUAAUCCUUGAAGGACCACCAGUGGCGAAGGCGUCUCACCAGAACGGACCUGACGGCAAGGGACGAAAGCUAGGGGCACGAACCGGAUUAGAUACCCGGGUAGUCCUAGCCGUAAACGAUACUCGCUAGGUGUCGGCCACGGUGCGACCGUUGUCGGUGC